CAGACACAUACACACACUUCUGCUGGUGCUCAUCGAAGGACAGCAGCUGCCCAGUGUAUUUUGGUUUGUGUUGGUGCUUCUUGCACCCAACAUAAAAAUGAAGUGACUUGACUGGCAAGAAGGACUCCUCAUCUUCACUGAAAAGAAUUCAGCAUCCUACAGGCUCUGAGCAGUAGAAAAUACCAAAGGACUGGGAACCUCCUGGCAGCAGUAGUUACUGGCUGGUCAGGAUACCCAAGCCGUGCUGUCUCCUCACUGGGAUAAAAUGAUGAGCCCUGUAAUGCAACCACGGAUCCCUACUCUUCUGCUUCAGGUCUGCUGGUUGGAGCAGCCGCUGCAUCCACAGAUCCCUACCCAAGGAAAAAGUGGGACUGGUGGAGACAAUCAUUGGAUUCUCAGCAUUUUCACUGGCGGUUCUUGGACCAGCAGGAUGGUUCUUGUGCCACCUUCCAAGAUAUAAAAAUAAAUAGAAAACAUCCCUUCAAAAUCAAGAUCUGGAGGCUGCAACAUGCUGUAAUACUGCUAACUUGGACCCUCUUGAAAGUGAGAACACAGGGGCUUGAGGGCCAGUUUAAAACAGAAUGAUUGAAACAUGAGUUCAGGUUUUGUGAAUGUCAUAUUGCUUCUAUAUUAAAAAAAAAA